rnacentral:rRNA from 1 species
GGGUGGUAAUGCCGGAUGCUCCGACUCCUCGCAUGGGGUGUCGGGAAAGAUUUCAUCGGUAUGGGAUGGGGUCGCGUCCUAUCAGGUAGUCGGCGGGGUAACGGCCCACCGAGCCUACGACGGGUAGCCGGCCUGAGAGGGCGACCGGCCACAUUGGGACUGAGAUACGGCCCAGACUCCUACGGGAGGCAGCAGUGGGGAAUAUUGCACAAUGGGCGCAAGCCUGAUGCAGCGACGCCGCGUGCGGGAUGACGGCCUUCGGGUUGUAAACCGCUUUUGAUCGGGAGCAAGCCUUCGGGUGAGUGUACCUUUCGAAUAAGCACCGGCUAACUACGUGCCAGCAGCCGCGGUAAUACGUAGGGUGCAAGCGUUAUCCGGAAUUAUUGGGCGUAAAGGGCUCGUAGGCGGUUCGUCGCGUCCGGUGUGAAAGUCCAUCGCUUAACGGUGGAUCUGCGCCGGGUACGGGCGGGCUGGAGUGCGGUAGGGGAGACUGGAAUUCCCGGUGUAACGGU